AUAAAGUCUCUCACUGUUUCCAUUGUUUCCCCAUCUAUUUGCCAUGAAGUGAUGGGACCAGAUGCCAUGAUCUUCAUUUUCUGAAUGCUGAGUUUUAAGCCAACUUUUUCACUCACGUCUCACUUACAUUAAGAGGCUCUUUCAGCUCCUCUUCACUUUUCCUUC